UACGUAGGGUGCAAGCGUUAAUCGGAAUUACUGGGCGUAAAGCGUGCGCAGGCGGUUGUGCAAGUCAGAUGUGAAAUCCCCGGGCUCAACCUGGGAACUGCAUUUGUGACUGCACGGCUGGAGUGCGGCAGAGGGGGAUGGAAUUCCGCGUGUAGCAGUGAAAUGCGUAGAUAUGCGGAGGAACACCGAUGGCGAAGGCAGCCCCCUGGGUCAAGAUUGACGCUCAUGCACGAAAGCGUGGGGAGCAAACAGG
rnacentral:rRNA from 1 species